AUUGUUGCCGACGAACUCGGUGAA
rnacentral:snRNA from 1 species